rnacentral:rRNA from 1 species
ACAAUGAAGAGUUUGAUCCUGGCUCAGGAUGAACGCUAGCGGCAGGCUUAACACAUGCAAGUCGAGGGGCAUCGGGGGUAGCAAUACUUGCCGGCGACCGGCGCAAGGGUGCGUAACGCGUGAGCAACAUGCCUGUAACAGUGGGAUAACCCGGAGAAAUUCGGACUAAUACCGCAUAAGACAUUUGGGUG